ACAACAACAUUCGGAUCGUCGCUCUACCGAGCAAUAUCACCCGCUCGGUGGAAGAUCUUCUCUUUGUCUUUAAGC
rnacentral:pre_miRNA from 1 species